ACAGGGAUUGCCCUAGUAACGGCGAGUGAAGCGGCAACAGCUCAAAUUUGAAAUCUGGCGUCUUUGGCGUCCGAGUUGUAAUUUGCAGAGGGCGCUUUGGUAUUGGCAGCGGUCCAAGUUCCUUGGAACAGGACGUCACAGAGGGUGAGAAUCCCGUACGUGGUCGCUAACCUUUACCGUGUAAAGCCCCUUCGACGAGUCGAGUUGUUUGGGAAUGCAGCUCUAAAUGGGAGGUAAAUUUCUUCUAAAGCUAAAUACUGGCCAGAGACCGAUAGCGCACAAGUAGAGUGAUCGAAAGAUGAAAAGCACUUUGGAAAGAGAGUUAAAAAGCACGUGAAAUUGUUGAAAGGGAAGCGCUUGCAGCCAGACUUGCCUGUAGUUGCUCAUCCGGGUUUUUACCCGGUGCACUCUUCUAUAGGCAGGCCAGCAUCAGUUUGGGCGGUUGGAUAAAGGUCUCUGUCAUGUACCUCUAUUCGGGGAGAACUUAUAGGGGAGACGACAUGCAACCAGCCUGGACUGAGGUCCGCGCAUCUGCUAGGAUGCUGGCGUAAUGGCUGUAAGCGGCCCGUCUUGAAACACGGACCAAGGAGUCUAACAUCUAUGCGAGUGUUUGGGUGUCAAGCCCGAGCGCGUAAUGAAAGUGAACGGAGGUGGGAACCUUUCGGGGUGCACCAUCGACCGAUCCUGAUGUCUUCGGAUGGAUUUGAGUAAGAGCAUAGCUGUUGGGACCCGAAAGAUGGUGAACUAUGCUUGAAUAGGGUGAAGCCAGAGGAAACUCUGGUGGAGGCUCGCAGCGGUUCUGACGUGCAAAUCGAUCGUCAAAUUUGGGCAUAGGGGCGAAAGACUAAUCGAACUAUCUAGUAGCUGGUUCCUGCCGAA
rnacentral:rRNA from 1 species